AGAAUCAACGCUGGCGGCGUGCCUAACACAUGCAAGUCGAACGAGAAAGUGGUAGCAAUACCAUGAGUAAAGUGGCGCACGGGUGAGUAACACGUGACUAACCUACCCUGGAGUGGGGGAUAACUGAGGGAACCUUAGCUAAUACCGCAUAAUACCUACGGGUCAAAGGAGCAAUUCGCUUCAGGAGGGGGUCGCGGCCGAUUAGUUAGUUGGCGGGGUAAUGGCCCACCAAGACAGUGAUCGGUA
rnacentral:rRNA from 1 species